rnacentral:rRNA from 1 species
AUUGAACGCUGGCGGCAGGCCUAACACAUGCAAGUCGAACGCGUGGCGGACGGGUGAGUAGUGUCUGGGAAACUGCCCGAUGGGGGGGUAUCUCUACUGGAAACGGUCGAUAAUACCGCAUACUCUCGGAUGUGCCCAGAGUGGAUUAGCUAGUGGGUGGGGUAACGGCUCACCUAGGCGACGAUCCAUAGCUGGUCUGAGAGGAUGACCAGCCACACUGGAACUGAGACACGGUCCAGACUCCUACGGGAGGCAGCAGUGGGGAAUAUUUCACAAUGGGCGCAAGCCUGAUGCAGCCAUGCCGCGUGUAUGAAGAAGGCCUUCGGGUUGUAAAGUACUUUCAGCGAGGAGGCGUUACUCGCAGAAGAAGCACCGGCUAACUCCGUGCCAGCCGCCGCGGUAAUAC